rnacentral:rRNA from 1 species
ACGCUCGACACCUACGGGAGGCAGCAGUGGGGGGAUAUUGCACAAUGGGGGAAACCCUGAUGCAGCAACGCCGCGUGAAGGAUGAAGGUUUUCGGAUUGUAAACUUCUGUUCUUAGUGGCGAUAAUGACGGUAGCUAAGAAGAAAGCUCCGGCUAACUACGUGCCAACAGCCGCGGUAAUNUGAGGCGGGCGUGGCAAGGC